rnacentral:rRNA from 1 species
AGAGUUUGAUCCUGGCUCAGGAUGAACGCUAGCUACAGGCUUAACACAUGCAAGUCGAGGGGCAGCGGGAUUGAAGCUUGCUUCAAUUGCCGGCGACCGGCGCACGGGUGAGUAACGCGUAUCCAACCUUCCGUACACUCAGGGAUAGCCUUUCGAAAGAAAGAUUAAUACCUGAUGGUAUGAUGAGAUUGCAUGAUAGCAUCAUUAAAGAUUUAUCGGUGUACGAUGGGGAUGCGUUCCAUUAGGUAGUAGGCGGGGUAACGGCCCACCUAGCCAACGAUGGAUAGGGGUUCUGAGAGGAAGGUCCCCCACAUUGGAACUGAGACACGGUCCAAACUCCUACGGGAGGCAGCAGUGAGGAAUAUUGGUCAAUGGACGAGAGUCUGAACCAGCCAAGUAGCGUGAAGGAUGACUGCCCUAUGGGUUGUAAACUUCUUUUAUAAAGGAAUAAAGUCGGGUAUGUAUACCCGUUUGCAUGUACUUUAUGAAUAAGGAUCGGCUAACUCCGUGCCAGCAGCCGCGGUAAUACGGAGGAUCCGAGCGUUAUCCGGAUUUAUUGGGUUUAAAGGGAGCGUAGAUGGAUGUUUAAGUCAGUUGUGAAAGUUUGCGGCUCAACCGUAAAAUUGCAGUUGAUACUGGAUAUCUUGAGUGCAGUUGAGGCAGGCGGAAUUCGUGGUGUAGCGGUGAAAUGCUUAGAUAUCACGAAGAACUCCGAUUGCGAAGGCAGCACACUAAUCCGUAACUGACGUUCAUGCUCGAAAGUGUGGGUAUCAAACAGGAUUAGAUACCCUGGUAGUCCACACGGUAAACGAUGGAUACUCGCUGUUGGCGAUAUACUGUCAGCGGCUUAGCGAAAGCGUUAAGUAUCCCACCUGGGGAGUACGCCGGCAACGGUGAAACUCAAAGGAAUUGACGGGGGCCCGCACAAGCGGAGGAACAUGUGGUUUAA